rnacentral:rRNA from 1 species
AGAGUUUGAUCCUGGCUCAGGACGAACGCUGGCGGCGUGCCUAAUACAUGCAAGUAGAACGCUGAAGAAAGGAGCUUGCUUCUUUUGGAUGAGUUGCGAACGGGUGAGUAACGCGUAGGUAACCUGCCUUGUAGCGGGGGAUAACUAUUGGAAACGAUAGCUAAUACCGCAUAACAGCUUUUGACACAUGUUAGAAGCUUGAAAGAUGCAAUUGCAUCACUACGAGAUGGACCUGCGUUGUAUUAGCUAGUAGGUAGGGUAACGGCCUACCUAGGCGACGAUACAUAGCCGACCUGAGAGGGUGAUCGGCCACGCUGGGACUGAGACACGGCCCAGACUCCUACGGGAGGCAGCAGUAGGGAAUCUUCGGCAAUGGGGGCAACCCUGACCGAGCAACGCCGCGUGAGUGAAGAAGGUUUUCGGAUCGUAAAGCUCUGUUGUAAGAGAAGAACGUGUGUGAGAGUGGAAAGUUCACACAGUGACGGUAACUUACCAGAAAGGGACGGCUAACUACGUGCCAGCAGCCGCGGUAAUACGUAGGUCCCGAGCGUUGUCCGGAUUUAUUGGGCGUAAAGCGAGCGCAGGCGGUUUAAUAAGUCUGAAGUUAAAGGCAGUGGCUUAACCAUUGUUCGCUUUGGAAACUGUUAAACUUGAGUGCAGAAGGGGAGAGUGGAAUUCCAUGUGUAGCGGUGAAAUGCGUAGAUAUAUGGAGGAACACCGGUGGCGAAAGCGGCUCUCUGGUCUGUAACUGACGCUGAGGCUCGAAAGCGUGGGGAGCAAACAGGAUUAGAUACCCUGUAGUCCACGCCGUAAACGAUGAGUGCUAGGUGUUAGGCCCUUUCCGGGGCUUAGUGCCGCAGCUAACGCAUUAAGCACUCCGCCUGGGGAGUACGACCGCAAGGUUGAAACUCAAAGGAAUUGACGG